GAUGAACGCUGGCGGCGUGCCUAAUACAUGCAAGUCGAGCGAACGGACGAGAAGCUUGCUUUUCUGAUGUUAGCGGCGGACGGGUGAGUAACACGUAGAUAACCUACCUAUAAGACUGGGAUAACUUCGGGAAACCGGAGCUAAUACCGGAUAAUAUUUUGAACCGCAUGGUUCAAAAGUGAAAGACGGUCUUGCUGUCACUUAUAGAUGGAUCCGCGCUGCAUUGGCUAGUUGGUAAGGUAACGGCUUACCAAGGCAACGAUGCAUAGCCGACCUGAGAGGGUGAUCGGCCACACUGGAACUGAGACACGGUCCAGACUCCUACGGGAGGCAGCAGUAGGGAAUCUUCCGCAAUGGGCGAAAGCCUGACGGAGCAACGCCGCGUGAGUGAUGAAGGUCUUCGGAUCGUAAAACUCUGUUAUUAGGGAAGAACAUAUGUGUAAGUAACUGUGCACAUCUUGACGGUACCUAAUCAGAAAGCCACGGCUAACUACGUG
rnacentral:rRNA from 1 species